CCUACGGGCGGCUGCAGUGGGGAAUAUUGGACAAUGGGCGAAAGCCCGAUCCAGCCAUGCCGCGUGUGUGAAGAAGGCCUUCGGGUUGUAAAGCACUUUCAGUGGGGAAGAAAGCCUUGGGGCUAAUACCCUCGAGGAAGGACAUCACCCACAGAAGAAGCACCGGCUAACUCCGUGCCAGCAGCCGCGGUAAUACGGAGGGUGCGAGCGUUAAUCGGAAUUACUGGGCGUAAAGCGCGCGUAGGCGGUCUGAUAAGCCGGUUGUGAAAGCCCCGGGCUCAACCUGGGAACGGCAUCCGGAACUGGCAGGCUAGAGUGCAGGAGAGGAAAGUAGAAUUCCCGGUGUAGCGGUGAAAUGCGUAGAGAUCGGGAGGAAUACCAGUGGCGAAGGCGGUCUUCUGGACUGACACUGACGCUGAGGUGCGAAAGCGUGGGUAGCAAACAGGAUUAGAUACCCGAGUAGUC
rnacentral:rRNA from 1 species